rnacentral:rRNA from 1 species
UCGAGAAUCUUCCACAAUGGACGAAAGUCUGAUGGAGCGACGCCGCGUGAGUGAUGAAGGCCCUACGGGUUGUAAAACUCUGUCAGGAGAGAAGAAUCGCCGGGGUGCCAAUACCACCCUGGUCUGACGUUAUCUCCAGAGGAAGCUCCGGCUAACUCCGUGCCAGCAGCCGCGGUAAUACGGGGGGAGCAAGCGUUGUCCGGAAUUAUUGGGCGUAAAGGGCGUGUAGGCGGCCUGGUCAGUCGAAUG